AUACGUAGGUGGCAAGCGUUGUCCGGAUUUAUUGGGCGUAAAGCGAGCGCAGGCGGUUUCUUAGGUCUGAUGUGAAAACCUUCGGCUUAACCGGAGAAGUGCAUCGGAAACCAGGAGACUUGAGUGCAGAAGAGGACAGUGGAACUCCAUGUGUAGCGGUGAAAUGCGUAGAUAUAUGGAAGAACACCAGUGGCGAAGGCGGCUGUCUGGUCUGUAACUGACGCUGAGGCUCGAAAGCAUGGGUAGCGAACAGGAUUAGAUACCCUGGUAGUCCAUGCCGUAAACGAUGAGUGCUAAGUGUUGGAGGGUUUCCGCCCUUCAGUGCUGCAGCUAACGCAUUAAGCACUCCGCCUGGGGAGUACGACCGCAAGGUUGAA
rnacentral:rRNA from 1 species